AUAUGAGUGGGAUAUGUUAACAGGGGACGUGGAGUUGAUAGAAUCUUUGGACGGUCACUGUGAUGUUGUUUAUGGGACACUUGAUCUCCGAAAACUUUCUUGGUGGCAGUCUAAAAGAGAUUUUGUCUUUUCUCGGAGGUGGUUUCAUGGUCAAGAUGGAACAUAUACAAUUUUGCAUUUCCCAACUGAAUACAAAAAGCGGCCGCCAAAAAGUGGAUAUCGACGUAUAAAAAUGAUCGCUUGUUCUUGGGAGAUCAGCAAUAUAGGCACUUCCUCCUCAUUAAAGCCUGCCAGAUGCCUUGUGACACUGAUUCUGGAGAUACGUUCUAAGGCCUA
rnacentral:misc_RNA from 1 species